CUAAUUACACUUCCUAUUACUACGUAUUUAAAUUAAUCAAAGGCCGAAGAAGUUGUGUUAAAUAUAAAAAUGUUUAAAUACCGUUCUCUAAUAGCUUAAGCUUUUAGAGUACAACGGUUAUUUCACAGGUAUCAGAACAGGAGGUCCUGAGUUCAAGUCAUACCAGACCCCUAGUAUAAUUAAUUUUCUCCCAUUUAUCAAGCCCACGUCAUGGGCCGACUAAAAAGUGGCGAGCCCAGAUGUGAGGGGGAGCUUAAACUUUUAUAGUACAACAGUUAUUUCACAAGUUGAGAGCACAAAAUUUAAGUUACAAAGGCAAAG
rnacentral:lncRNA from 1 species